rnacentral:lncRNA from 1 species
AGUGGCAGCGCGGACAGCCCCGGACGGAAGGGGUCUUGGCGGCGCUCUUUGGCCAGUAGAAAUAGGCUCUGCGCCCGAGUUUUGUUUGGGGUUUCCUUUUCCUCUACGGCGGGUCGUUUUGUUUUUCCCAGGUCCUAGGGAUGUGGUGGGGGUAGAAAGCGAGGCCCCGGGGCUCGGGGCAGAGCUCAGGGUCUGAGGAAGGGUUUAACUACCGUUGUAAUGAAACCGCUUGAUUUGCGUUCUGUGGGCUCGGGCAGUGGGGUGCGAUUUGAUUCCAUUUCUCCCAGCAGAAAUGAGAUUUGCUGCCUGGGCAUCUUGCUGGAGCCGGAGAGCCGUUCUGGAAAACUCUCCCGAAUACGUCAUGGUUGUUGCUCACGCUGUGCGCGGUCCCGUCGGCACAGAAUGCGUUUUUGCUUUUGAGAGCUGUAAAUCAAACAGCCGCGCUGGAAACUAUUUCUCAGCUCCAGAGGCGGUCGCCUGCAGAGGCAAAACUCAGCUUGCCUGACAGACGUGCCACGAGACGUUGGCUGAAAAUUAUUUUGAUCAUACCAACUAACUUGUCUUUUUUAGGCAAAUGUUGUUUGUGUGCGCAUCCGGUUUUCAUUCGUCUCUGAUGUCCAACCCCGCAAAAAAAGAGUGGGGGAGGGGGAGGAAAGGAAAAAACCUCUUACUGUAUCAAAAGUGGUCGUUGUUUAGGACUCACCCUCCCUUCAGUGGAUAUGGGUGAAAAAUUAAAGACAUGUUCCGUGGAUGAAUUAGAGAUCGGGGAAAUGGAAAAGGUCGUGGUUGUCUCAGUUUAGCGGGUGGGGAUAUCUUUUGUUGGUUUAUUUGAACUGCGUAGGUGCAAAUUCGGUGGAUUGUGGAUAUCCAAAGGUGAAUUCUGGAGCUGCUUGGGUGUGGGUGUUGCCAUGGCGACAGGAGGAGGUAGCUGGUGAAUUGCAGGGUCAAUA